rfam:Bacillus thuringiensis serovar israelensis ATCC 35646 sq1788, whole genome shotgun sequence.
AUAUAUGCAUUGAAGAGGAAACAGUAGUGCUUAUCUCACUGUUAAAGAGAGCUGAUGGUCGGUGUGAAUCAGUACAAAGGUAAGCAUGAAUUACAGCCUUGGAGCAUCUUUCCCGACAACUUAUGGAGGGGAAGACGGUCAAACGAUCGUUAAAGAAGAAGAGAGGUAGACGACAGUUGUCUACAACUAGGGUGGUACCGCGAUAAACAUCGUCCCUACU